rnacentral:rRNA from 1 species
UACGUAGGGUGCAAGCGUUGUCCGGAAUUAUUGGGCGUAAAGAGCGUGUAGGCGGCCCGAUUAGUCCGCUGUGAAAGUCCAGGGCUCAACCCUGGAAUGCCGGUGGAUACUGUCGGGCUGGAGUCCGGAAGGGGCGAGUGGAAUUCCUGGUGUAGCGGUGAAAUGCGCAGAUAUCAGGAGGAACACCAAUGGCGAAGGCAGCUCGCUGGGACGUGACUGACGCUGAGACGCGAAAGCGUGGGGAGCAAACAGG